rnacentral:rRNA from 1 species
GCUAUACAUGCAGUCGAGCGAAUGACGAAGAAGCUUGCUUCUUCUGAUUUAGCGGCGGACGGGUGAGUAACACGUGGGCAACCUGCCCUGUAGAUUGGGAUAACUCCGGGAAACCGGGGCUAAUACCGAAUAAUCCAUUUCCUCACAUGGGGAGAUGUUAAAAGACGGCAUCUCGCUGUCACUACAGGAUGGGCCCGCGGCGCAUUAGCUAGUUGGUGAGGUAACGGCUCACCAAGGCGACGAUGCGUAGCCGACCUGAGAGGGUGAUCGGCCACACUGGGACUGAGACACGGCCCAGACUCCUACGGGAGGCAGCAGUAGGGAAUCUUCCACAAUGGACGAAAGUCUGAUGGAGCAAUGCCGCGUGAGUGAAGAAGGUUUUCGGAUCGUAAAACUCUGUUGUGAGGGAAGAACAAGUACGAGAGUAACUGCUCGUACCUUGACGGUACCUCAUUAGAAAGCCACGGCUAACUACGUGCCAGCAGCCGCGGUAAUACGUAGGUGGCAAGCGUUGUCCGGAAUUAUUGGGCGUAAAGCGCGCGCAGGCGGUCCUUUAAGUCUGAUGUG